rnacentral:rRNA from 1 species
UCGGUCCUACGGGAGGCAGCAGUGGGGAAUAUUGCACAAUGGGGGAAACCCUGAUGCAGCGACGCCGCGUGAGUGAAGAAGUAUCUCGGUACGUAAAGCUCUAUCAGCAGGGAAGAAAAAAAGUCUUUGGCUUUGGACGGUACCUGACUAAGAAGCCCCGGCUAACUACGUGCCAGCAGCCGCGGUAAUACGUAGGGGGCAAGCGUUAUCCGGAUUUACUGGGUGUAAAGGGAGCGUAGACGGCAGCGCAGGUCUGGAGUGAAAUGCCGGGGCGCACCCCCGGAACUGCUU